AUUGAACGCUGGCGGCAGGCCUAACACAUGCAAGUAGAACGAGUGGCGGACGGGUGAGUAAUGUCUGGGAAACUGCCUGAUGGAGGGGGAUAACUACUGGAAACGGUAGCUAAUACCGCAUACGAUCCGUUGUGCCCAGAUGGGAUUAGCUAGUUGUGGGGGUAACGGCUAACCAAGGCGACGAUCCCUAGCAGGUCUGAGAGGCUGACCAGCCACACUGGAACUGAGACACGGUCCAGACUCCUACGGGAGGCAGCAGUGGGGAAUAUUGCGCAAUGGGCGCAAGCCUGAUGCAGCCAUGCCGCGUGUAUGAAGAAGGCCUUCGGGUUGUAAAGUACUUUCAGCGGGGAGGCGUUACCCACAGAAGAAGCACCGGCUAACUCCGGGCCAGCAGCCGCGGUAAUUC
rnacentral:rRNA from 1 species